GGCAUCUAGACAGGUGAAGGGGAAAGCAAGAACGGAGGGCCUUUAAGUCUUUAUAGGCAAUAGUUAAAUUACAAUUGGCCGUUAAAAAUGAUCGUUUACAUUUCCCUGGGCUUGGUAGCUGCUCGUGCUUACUACAUUCAGCCAUGCCGCCACCCACACUCCGCCUUAUCUCUAGCUCCCCCGUCUCCACCGUCGCGGGCUUAUCACCCUUCCCUCCCCAGCAGCCCAUUUCAAAUCAAAACCUCUCCGUUAACCCCAAUCAAGAGAAUCGACGGAAAGGACAACGCCACCUUCAGAAUCAAAUCCAAAUCUCUCGCAGAGACGCCGCGUUUCUGUCCCUAAUCUCUCUCUUUCCUUCCCUAUUCCAACCCUCUCAUGCUUCUGCAUUCUCCAUUGGAAUUUCAGGACCAAAGGAUUGGCUUAAAGAGCAAAAAAGGAAGUCCUCGAAAUUCCUCUUGGCCCCAAUUGAUGCUUCUCGGCGAAGCCUUCGCUCUGCUUAUCUUUUGCUCAUGGAUGAGGAAUCAACUAAUUCAAAUAAGGAUUUAGAGGAAGUUCAAAAGCUCUUGAAAUCUGCCGCUAGGGAUUGCGUUGUACAAGAGAGGAAUUCCUUUGUUGCAUUUCAAGCCAAUACCGGAGUCGAGGUUUGCACAUUCCGGUUGAUUGUGAAGAAUGCUUCUUCCUUGCUUGAGGAUAAGAAUCCUGUUAAGCUGGAAGCUGAAGCUAUGCUAGAUGAUCUUAUAAGCUUGUUUACCUCACUUAAUAGUUUGGCAAAUGAAACUGAUAUUCAAGUUGCUUCCAGUAGGCAAAGGGUUGCAGAUGCACUCCUGGAUACCAUAACCUCCCUUGACAAAUUUGAGCAGGGGGUUAAGGAUUGCCUCAAAGUAUGACCAUGCUGGCUUCCUUUUCUAAUUGAUUUUAUGGUGUUAUGUGAUGGUUGGAGAUUUUGUGGAGGCUUUAGUCCUCUGGACCUGGAGCAUGGAAGGUUGUAAAAAUUCUGAAUAUUUGCUUUUCAGGGGCUAUACCAGGUCAAAGUUUGAAACAAAAAGAAGGGAAGGAAAACAUGCAUACAGUUUAUCGUUACAGACUCAACAAUAAACAAAAAUUGUUUAUGAUCAAUCAAAAUAUGAGUUUUUCUCUUAGACAAACUACAAAGGAUGCUUAUCCUCAACUAUUCCUGCAAAGAGAAAUGAAGCCUGCACCAAAUAUAAGCGACGGCAUGGUGUUCCAUCGUCCGGGUUGAUUUCUAUUGACCUUGGAAUGGAGAGCUUGUGCUUUACUUGGGAGGAAAGCCUUUCUGGAUGCAAGCUUACACUGAGGCAUGUAAUUGCAAUUUUUUACAGUAUAAAUGAAUCUGCUUAUUGGCUAGCAUUUGAUAAAUUGUUACGCGUGAAUCAUGAUGUUUGAGCAAUCUAGUUCAGUAACUAUCAAUGUGACGGCAGGAUAUAAAGGGAUCAGUGCCUUGCAGAAAGCGAGGUUGUACAGAGCUUCAUUGCUUCUAAUAUGAAUGCUGUAAGUAUAGUGCAUUAAACACGGGGUAGAGUGAAUACUAACCUGCGCCAAGGAGAACAACUUGAGCUGCACCACCAAAGGAAUCAAGAGCAGCUUC